UUAAAAUAGAAUUAAAAAUAAGAGAGACAAAUUAUAAACAAAAUCAACUACCAAAAUAACAAAAGGGACCGGCGUGUAACAUGCACGAAUGCACAAGGACCAAAUCUGGAAAUAAUCCAGACCCCUAAACUCAGCGCUAAAGCUAGGACCAAGGUGCGAACGCACGCAAAUUAUGGGGAAAUUUUAAAAGAAAAAGAAAUGCGAAUAUAAGCUGAUUUGCACAUGACGCGAAAGGGGAGGGACCUAUAUCGAAAAUUCCCCAUUUGAGGCGCAAAGGCACGGAUCCGGAUCCUGGGACGGGUCGACGCGCGGAGUCCCCUCCCCUAAACGACGCCGUUUUUGGAGCCACUGAAUCAAGCCCAAAACGACGCCGUAUUCAAACCUUUAAAAGAGCCAAAAUUUGGCUAUUCAGCCAUUUUAAACCCUAGCCCCCAUUUUGCUUUACCAGCCGACCUUUAGCUAAAUCAUUUGGCCCUCGCCUCCAUCGUCCCCAACCGCAGGCACAUUCUCCUUUUGAAAACAAUUUUCAACCUCGAGACCCCUCCUUCACCCUAGAUUUCAACGAAGCAAGGAGGAGUCAACGGCAGAUUCGCGAGGUAAGCCUCCUAUUCUCUUCUCUUUUUGAAUAUCAGAAUCACAAAUCCAAAAAGAAAAACUAAAGAAAAUAAAGUAUUUAGGGAUUUUUUGAAUAAAAAAUCACCUUGCUCUUUUUUUUGAUUGCUUUGUAUUGCUUCUCUGUGCGUAACGUUUACAAAGAUUAAAAUCAUGGCUUUAUAGCCGAAAAAAAAAAGAAAAAUCAAUGAAAAAAAUACCAUAUUUUCUUUGUUUGUAUUAGCUGCUGUGGUUUGUCUGUUCUUCGCAGGUACGGGGUGCGUAGGCAUCAUACGGAGGUUGUGUUGGCGCUGGCGUGGUUGCUGGAGGGUACGGAGGCUAGGGCUGCUGCGGCGCAAGCAGAAACUACUAAGGUUUCUGCCUUGGCUCUUGUUUUAGGCAUUGGGCCUAUGUAUUAGGUUUUGGGUCUAAGCAAUGGGUUUGGGCUAGGGUAUUAGUUAUUGGGUUUUGGUUUGUAAAUGGACAUUUAAUUAAUGGACAGUUAAUUUUUUUGUUUAUUAUUAUAUAUAUAUUUUUAUUUUAGACUUUGGUUCUGACGUGGGCCCAAGCAAAUUGGCUCAUUUACACCUCAACUUGAGUUUUUCAAAAAUAGAUAAAGUUAUUAAAUUAAUACUAGCUCGU
rnacentral:lncRNA from 1 species